rfam:Triticum aestivum genome assembly, contig: Triticum_aestivum_CS42_TGACv1_scaffold_441285_5DL
CAACUACUCCCUCUAUCCCAAAUUUCUUGUCUUAGAUUUGUCUAGAUACGGAUAUAUCUAAUACUAAAAUGUGACUUGAUACAUCCGUAUCUAGACAAAUCUAAGACAAGAAUUUUGGGACGGAGGGAGUACUUU